GACGAACGCUGGCGGCGUGCUUAACACAUGCAAGUCGAACGGAAAGGCCCUGCUUUUGUGGGGUGCUCGAGUGGCGAACGGGUGAGUAACACGUGAGUAACCUGCCCUUGACUUUGGGAUAACUUCAGGAAACUGGGGCUAAUACCGGAUAGGAGCUCCUGCUGCAUGGUGGGGGUUGGAAAGUUUCGGCGGUUGGGGAUGGACUCGCGGCUUAUCAGCUUGUUGGUGGGGUAGUGGCUUACCAAGGCUUUGACGGGUAGCCGGCCUGAGAGGGUGACCGGCAACAUUGGGACUGAGAUACGGCCCAGACUCCUACGGGAGGAAGCAGUGAGGAAUAUUGCAAAAUGGGCGGAAGCCUGAUGCAGCAACGCCGCGUGCGGGAUGACGGCCUUCGGGUUGUAAACCGCUUUCGCCUGUGACGAAGCGUGAGUGACGGUAAUGGGUAAAGAAGCACCGGCUAACUACGUG
rnacentral:rRNA from 1 species